rnacentral:rRNA from 1 species
CGUAAUAGCUCACUGGUCGAGUCGGCCUGCGCGGAAGAUGUAACGGGGCUAAACCAUGCACCGAAGCUGCGGCAGCGACACUAUGUGUUGUUGGGUAGGGGAGCGUUCUGUAAGCCUGUGAAGGUGUACUGUGAGGUAUGCUGGAGGUAUCAGAAGUGCGAAUGCUGACAUAAGUAACGAUAAAGCGGGUGAAAAGCCCGCUCGCCGGAAGACCAA